UCCCCUGCUUGUUAUGGAUGUAAAUCUUCACAGCGUAUUUUGCGGACUUAAAAGGUGGAAGCAACAGACAGUCAUUGCCAAAAGCACCAUGAAAAAAGCAAUGCUUCCAAAGACUGUCUCACCGGUAACAAAGACUUUCAGAAGACUCAAAACAUGACCUAUGGAAGGCAACGGAAAACCUAUAUGUACCUUUCAAAAUACUUCUAAUUUCUUUCUCUCUGCCUGAUAAAUAGUACUAUUAUAUAAUUUUCAAUACAAGAUUGCAAUCGGCCACGUGCACUACAAGACUCUUGAGGUCAGAUUAAAAGUACAGUGAUACUGUUAGGAGAAACCCUUGAAAAAGAAAAUGCAGGAGAGCCUGCCUUACUGGACAACCAUCACAUUGCAAUGCACUAGUGAAGAAGAGAGAGGAACGAUGUCGUGAAUGUUCUAGAGGGCGUUCAAACUAAGGAAGGCCUGAGAAGACCAUCAGGAGUUCAUGAGCCAAAAUCAGCCUCUGAGGUCCCUCAGGAACAGCUUGCCUGAGUAUCCCUACGUGGCUCAGUCACUAGCAUGGACCCAUCCAUGGGAAACAAGAAUUCCCUAAUGGACAGAAUAAUGAACUAACAACCUAGACUUCAAUAUGGCCAGAUGCUAUUAUAUACAAUUACAAAAUCUCUUAUUAUAUCAAAUAAUAAAAAAUAGAAUGUCAAUCAGUUAUUUCAAACUGCUCUCAUCUUUAAAUCCUAUUAUGUACACAUGUACUAAAAUGUAAUUUCUGAUACCAAUCAUGAUCAUGAAUCAAUAGCUGAAACCACUCUUAUAGGCCUCGUAUACCUCAAUAUCUACUCUAAAGGAUGAACAGUGAUACUGUGAGUUUAGGAAAGCAGACCACCACCACAAUUCCAGUAUCUGUUCAUUUACUAGCUUCUAAUAUCUUUUUAAUAUGUAAAUGGAGCUCUCUGGGCUUACAUUCUUUUUUUUAUAUAAAUUUAUUCUUAAUAGAAUCAAUUGAAUAGAACUAAUGUUUAAAUACCCAUAAGAAUGAAUUUGAUGGUUCAUGGGUAAAUUGGUGGUGGGAAUUUUAUGGGGACUACACAAGAGAGGAGAAAUCAAACAAUGUACAAAAAUGAACAAUGAUGUAAAUUAUGUAUGCAUACAUAUAAAUAUUUUUAAAAAGAAUGAAUUCGG